GUUCUAUUUUCGGCAGCACGUACACUAAAAUUGGAACGAUACAGAGAAGAUUGGCAUGGCCCCUGCUCAGGGGUGACACACAAAUUCGUGAAGUGGUCCAUAUUUUC